UGGGGGAUAUUGCACAAUGGGCGAAAGCCUGAUGCAGCGACGCCGCGUGGGGGAUGAAGGCCUUCGGGUUGUAAACUUCUUUUGCUCUGAACAAGGCAUGCCUUUGGGGUGUGUUGAGUGUAGGGGUUGAUUAGCGCCGGCUAACUACGUGCCAGCAGCCGCGGUAAUACGUAGGGCGCGAGCGUUGUCCGGAAUUAUUGGGCGUAAAGGGCUUGUAGGUGGCUGGUUGCGUCUGUCGUGAAAGCUCAUGGCUUAACUGUGGGUUUGCGGUGGGUACGGGCUGGCUUGAGUGCAGUAGGGGAGGCUGGAAUUCCUGGUGUAGCGGUAGAAUGCGCAGAUAUCAGGAGGAAUACCGGUGGCGAAGGCGGGUCUCUGGGCUGUUACUGACGCUGAGGAGCGAAAGCGUGGGGAGCGAACAGG
rnacentral:rRNA from 1 species